GAUGAAGAACGUAGUGAAAUGCGAUACUUGGUGUGAAUUGCAGAAUCCCGUGAACCAUCGAAUCUUUGAACGCAAGUUGCGCCCGAAGCCAUUAGGCCGAGGGCACGCCUGCCUGGGCGUCACACGUCGUUGCCCCCCCCAUCUACUCCUUCGGGAUUGCGGGGGGCGGAUGAUGGCCUCCCGUGCGCCUCGCCGCGCGGUUGGCAUAAAUGCCAAGUCCUCGGCGAUGCACGCCACGACAAUCGGUGGUUGCGAAACCUCGGUUGCCCGUCGUGUGCGGUCGUCGCGCAUCGAGGGCUCGAAAAAAUUGCCGGGUUCCGGCUCGGCUUUCAACGCGACCCCAGGUCAGGCGGGGUUACCCGCUGAAUUUAAGCAUAUCAAUAAGCGGAGGA
rnacentral:misc_RNA from 1 species